rnacentral:tRNA from 1 species
GCCUGGGUGGCUCAGUCGGUUGAGCGUCCGACUUCAGCUCAGGUCACGAUAUCACGGUUCGUGAGUUCGAGCCCCGCGUCAGGCU